GCAGGGACAGGGCAGGAAGGGAGAAGAGGAAUCACAAAGUGUGGGGCUUGGAAACGGACUCAUUAAGGAAGUCACCAAAGCUGCUUUAGGGUAGUGCCUGUGUAGACAUCAAUCAACGUGGAAGUUUCUCUGUGAAUGAAACAAGAGUUUCCGGGCAAACAGAAUCAGGGUGCUGAGUGGAUCGAGGAUGACUCCAAGGCUAUAUACUGUCCAAGCCUGGACAUGAUCAUAUGACUUUAAUUGUUGCAAGCCAAGUCUACGAGGACCUAAGUUUGUCGGUUACGGUAACUUCUGAGAGACAUAUACCUGUAUGUAUGUGUACACAUGUACAUGUGAAAAUAUGUGCACAUCAGUAAGAGAACUAGGAGUGUGCAUGUGUUUGUUUUUUUUAAAUAUAUGGUCUUGUUAUGAGGCUUUUGCACAAAUAAACUUCGGCUUAUUAAAACA